rnacentral:rRNA from 1 species
AACGAACGCUGGCGGCAGGCUUAACACAUGCAAGUCGAGCGGGGAAAGGUAGCUUGCUACUUUACCUAGCGGCGGACGGGUGAGUAAUGCUUAGGAAUCUGCCUAUUAGUGGGGGACAACAUCUCGAAAGGGAUGCUAAUACCGCAUACGUCCUACGGGAGAAAGCAGGGGAUCACUUGUGACCUUGCGCUAAUAGAUGAGCCUAAGUCGGAUUAGCUAGUUGGUGGGGUAAAGGCCUACCAAGGCGACGAUCUGUAGCGGGUCUGAGAGGAUGAUCCGCCACACUGGGACUGAGACACGGCCCAGACUCCUACGGGAGGAAGCAGUGGGGAAUAUUGGACAAUGGGGGGAACCCUGAGCCAGCCAUGCCGCGUGUGUGAAGAAGGCCUUAUGGUUGUAAAGCACUUUAAGCGAGGAGGAGGCUCUUUUGGUUAAUACCCAAGAUGAGUGGACGUUACUCGCAGAAUAAGCACCGGCUAACUCUGUGCCAGCAGCCGCCGUAA